AAUUUUUUUGACAUGUCAAAAAAUUCGAGUAGCGAUCGAGUAGAUAAGACGUCGAGAAGCGAUCGUAUAGUGAUCGAGUAGAAGAUCUAGUUGAUCGAGAAUAAAUCGUGUAACGAUCUAGUUUGGUCGGGUAUACAUCGGUUAUACAUCUCUUACCCGAUCUGUACACGAUCAUCUCGACUUCUACUCGAGCAUUAUCCGAUCUGGUCGAGUGGAAAUCUGGCAACGAUUGAGCAGAGGUCCAGUUAGUCUAGUUGAGAUCGUGUAUGACUCGCGUAUAGGUCUGGGUGAUCGAGAAGAAGUCGGGAUGUUGGUCGGGUUGUCGUCGAGAAGAAGUCGUAAACAUGGUCGACUUGAGGUCGUGUAGGAGUCGUGAAUUUGCAUUUAAUCCAGCUUGGUCGGGCUUCAUCGGGGAAUUAAUGUGAUCGAGUUGAUCUGAUCGGCGGUGAGAACAUAGCUUAAGAUAAAAUUUUCAUGGGCAAAAAAUUGGCCUGUGUGUUUGACGUCAUAAGGCCAAAACAAAAUGGUCUUGAGGUUCUGGUAACAUGCUGAAAAAAAUAGGAAAAACAUUUUUUUUUUUAAUUAGUAUUUUAUUAAAAUUUAACUGUAUGUCAGAUAUAUACACACUAUAGGAUACUCCAAUUUUGCAAUAAAAUGUUCUAGGUAAGGUGCGGAAAUACAGGGUCGGUCCGGUUACUGGAACCACAAGAUCAUUUUGUUUGGCCUAAUCUCGCGUGAAUAAGUCUCGCGAGAAUUGUCUUUUUUUUUAACAUGAACGAAUAUCAGUAUAUAAUUAAGUUAUAAUAAUUAUUUGAGAAAAAUACGUGAUGAAAUAAUUUAAAAUGAAAAAGAAAUGCUUUUAUUUAGACACGUGACUAAAGUUCUUGCUAAAGAAAAACAACAUCCAAUGAAAAUGCGUUAUUUACACCACGUGGUUUUCACACGCAUCGGGGUUUGCCUAAAAUACGAAAGUGACGUU